GAUGAACGCUGGCGGCGUGCCUAAUACAUGCAAGUCGAGCGAAUGGAUUAAGAGCUUGCUCUUAUGAAGUUAGCGGCGGACGGGUGAGUAACACGUGGGUAACCUGCCCAUAAGACUGGGAUAACUCCGGGAAACCGGGGCUAAUACCGGAUGACAUUUUGAACCGCAUGGUUCGAAAUUGAAAGGCGGCUUCGGCUGUCACUUAUGGAUGGACCCGCGUCGCAUUAGCUAGUUGGUGAGGUAACGGCUCACCAAGGCAACGAUGCGUAGCCGACCUGAGAGGGUGAUCGGCCACACUGGGACUGAGACACGGCCCAGACUCCUACGGGAGGCAGCAGUAGGGAAUCUUACGCAAUGGACGAAAGUCUGACGGAGCAACGCCGCGUGAGUGAUGAAGGCUUUCGGGUCGUAAAACUCUGUUGUUAGGGAAGAACAAGUGCUAGUUGAAUAAGCUGGCACCUUGACGGUACCUAACCAGAAAGCCACGGCUAACUACGUGCCAGCAGCCGCGGUAA
rnacentral:rRNA from 1 species